UUACGGCCAUAUCACGUUGAAACAUCGCUUCCCGUACGAUCACCGAAGUUAAACAACGUCCAACCUGCACAGUAUCUAGAUGGGUGAACACUUGGGAAUAUCAGGUGCUGUAAG